GCCGGGUGUGGUGGCUCACGCCUGUAAUCCCAGCACUUUGGGAGGCUGAGGCGGGAGGAUCACCUGAGGUCAGGAGUGACCAGCCUGACCAACAUGGCGAAACCUCGUCUCUA
rnacentral:sRNA from 1 species